UGAGGAAUAUUGGUCAAUGGGCGAGAGCCUGAACCAGCCAAGUCGCGUGAAGGAAGACUGCCCGCAAGGGUUGUAAACUUCUUUUGUAUGGGAUUAAAGUCAUCUACGUGUAGGCGUUUGCAGUUACCAUACGAAUAAGCAUCGGCUAACUCCGUGCCAGCAGCCGCGGUAAUACGGAGGAUGCGAGCGUUAUCCGGAAUUAUUGGGUUUAAAGGGUGCGUAGGUUGCAAGGGAAGUCAGGGGUGAAAAGCUGUAGCUCAACUAUGGUCUUGCCUUUGAAACUCUCUAGCUAGAGUGUACUGGAGGUACGUGGAACGUGUGGUGUAGCGGUGAAAUGCAUAGAUAUCACACAGAACUCCGAUUGCGCAGGCAGCGUACUACAUUACAACUGACACUGAAGCACGAAAGCGUGGGUAUCAAACAGG
rnacentral:rRNA from 1 species